rnacentral:rRNA from 1 species
GGAAUAGACGGGGACCCGCACAAGCGGUGGAGCAUGUGGUUUAAUUCGAAGAUACGCGAAGAACCUUACCUGGGCUUGAUAUCCUAAGAACCUUAUAGAGAUAUGAGGGUGCUAGCUUGCUAGAACUUAGAGACAGGUGCUGCACGGCUGUCGUCAGCUCGUGUCGUGAGAUGUUGGGUUAAGUCCCGCAACGAGCGCAACCCACGUAUUUAGUUGCUAACGGUUCGGCCGAGCACUCUAAAUAGACUGCCUUCGUAAGGAGGAGGAAGGUGUGGACGACGUCAAGUCAUCAUGGCCCUUAUGCCCAGGGCGACACACGUGCUACAAUGGCAUAUACAAUGAGACGCAAUACCGCGAGGUGGAGCAAAUCUAUAAAAUAUGUCCCAGUUCGGAUUGUUCUCUGCAACUCGAGAGCAUGAAGCCGGAAUCGCUAGUAAUCGUAGAUCAGCCAUGCUACGGUGAAUACGUUCCCGGGUCUUGUACUCACCGCCCGUCACACCAUGGGAGUUGAUUUCACUCGAAGCCGGAAUACUAAACUAGUUACCGUCCACAGUGGAAUCAGCGACUGGGGUGAAGUCGUAACAAGGUAACCGUAGGAGAACCUGCGGUUGGAUCACCUCCUUU